rnacentral:rRNA from 1 species
ACUCCUACGGGAGGCAGCAGUAGGGGAAUCUUCCACAAUGGGCGCAAGCCUGAUGGAGCAACACCGCGUGAGUGAAGAAGGGUUUCGGCUCGUAAAGCUCUGUUGUUAAAGAAGAACACGUAUGAGAGUAACUGUUCAUACGUUGACGGUAUUUAACCAGAAAGUCACGGCUAACUACGUGCCAGCAGCCGCGGUAAUACGUAGGUGGCAAGCGUUAUCCGGAUUUAUUGGGCGUAAAGAGAGUGCAGGCGGUUUUCUAAGUCUGAUGUGAAAGCCUUCGGCUUAACCGGAGAAGUGCGUCGGAAACUGGAUAACUUGAGUGCAGAAGAGGGUAGUGGAACUCCAUGUGUAGCGGUGGAAUGCGUAGAUAUAUGGAAGAACACCAGUGGCGAAGGCGGCUACCUGGUCUGCAACUGACGCUGAGACUCGAAAGCAUGGGUAGCGAACAGGAUUAGAUACCCUGGUAGGAUAGCG